CCCUUAGAUGUUCUGGGCCGCACGCGCGCUACACUGAUGCAUUCAACAAGCCUAGCCUUGACCGAGAGGUCCGGGUAAUCUUUGAAACUGCAUCGUGAUGGGGAUAGACGAUUGCAAUUAUUCGUCUUCAACGAGGAAUUCCUAGUAAACGCAAGUCAUCAGCUUGCAUUGAUUACGUCCCUGCCCUUUGUACACACCGCCCGUCGCUAGUACCGAUUGAAUGGCUUAGUGAGGCUUCAGGAUUGGUUCAGAGAAGGGGGCAACUCCAUCUUGGAACCGAGAAUUUAGUCAAACUUGGUCAUUUAGAGGAACUAAAAGUCGUAACA
rnacentral:rRNA from 1 species